rnacentral:lncRNA from 1 species
GGGGGUUGCCACCUCAGACCCCAUCACUCACACUCUGGCAUGGGGCUCUCCUCUGGGACAGAAACUCUCCCCAAGCCUCACACUGUGACCCUCCUAACCUGAAAAUUGCAGUGACAUAGGCACAGGCUCCAGGAAUCACAUAAUGAGACAGACUCCAGUCUGCCCUGCCCGGCAGUGGGAGCUGCCACUGGCUUUAACUGGUACCAUGACCUCCGACUUGAAGUUCCUAGAAAGGAAAUGAAGCAACAACCUUUGAAGUAUUUGAGGGAAGAAGAGUCGAUGGGGCAGGGCAGAGGUGGUAGUUCUCUGUGCCUGUGGCAUCCACUCAGCUCUCCCCUCAUGAGGUUCAGAAAGUUCAAGAACCUGCAGAAAAGAUAAAGAUAACCAAGCCCCCCUACACUUCCUUCUGCAAAGCACAGAGGCCCUGGAAACUCGGGGAAUCUGAUGCUCACCACUUGCAAAUACCCAGUUUUCUGUGGGCUUUUAUCAUCUCUGUUGCUUCACUAACCUUUUAUAGUACCUCUGUGAGGCAGGCUAAUUGGGUAAAUAGACUUCAACCCAGUUUACAGAUGAGCAAAAUAGAAGCAGAGACAUUGACUCGUCAAUGGCCUCACAACUAGUAAGUGAUGGGGACAGGGCUGGAAGCAUUUUCCUUGCCCCCUCAUCCAGAACUCAUCCCUCCCUAUAUAGCUGCCUAUGAGUGGGAGAGGCCUUUGUGUCCAUUUCUUUCAGUCCUGUUGACCGAUUUCUUUCAGACCCAAGCUGGGGCUCCAUCUUUGGCUAAAAAUACGUACUGUUUUUUGUUGGCCUUUUUGAGGAGUGUGGGCUCAGAGCAGUAGGAGGACUUUCCUUUGCUCCCAAUGUUCAGGCUGCUGCUGAUGUGGAGGGAGCCAUUGACCAGGCAG